rnacentral:lncRNA from 1 species
UAGGGAUGGCUUUUUUAUAUGUGGGGUAUGGGUUGUCUGAAAAUUUGUUGUAUUGUCUUUGCGGUUGUGGUCCCCCAUGUCCCCCAUAGUUAUACUUAGAUCCUGUUGUCGUUAUCACUUUAUUAAUCGGUGUCUUUUGUCCUUUUAUGGUUAUUGGUAGGUGUAGCAUAUUGUUUACGGUUACGGUGUUGUGAGUGAUGGACCAUAUCGAAGUAGUUAUUCAUCAUGGGAGAAAGUUCGUGAAUGAGGGAUGCUUAAAGUAUGAAGGGCUAAUUGAGACAUUUGUAUUUGAUCCUGACGUAUGGAGUUUUUUUGUGGUAGUGAGUGUAGUAAAAAGUCUAGGGUACGAUGGU